GCGGGCGUGGCGGAAUUGGUAGACGCACAGGACUUAAAAUCCUGGGAUCAUUUGAUCGUGGGGGUUCGAUUCCCCCCGCCCGCACCA
rnacentral:tRNA from 1 species